rnacentral:rRNA from 1 species
UACAGAGGUCUCAAGCGUUAAUCGGAUUCACUGGGUUUAAAGGGUGCGUAGGUGGGUCUGUAAGUCAGUGGUGAAAUCUCCAAGCUUAACUUGGAAACUGCCGUUGAUACUAUAGACCUUGAAUGCUGUGGAGGUGAGCGGAAUAUGUCAUGUAGCGGUGAAAUGCUUAGAUAUGACAUAGAACACCAAUUGCGAAGGCAGCUCACUACCCAGAUAUUGACACCGAGGCACGAAAGCGUGGGGAUCAAACAGG